GCCUGGGUGGCUCAGUCGGUUAAGCGUCUGACUUCAGCUCAGGUCAUGAUCUUGCGAUCCGUGAGUUCGAGCCCCGCGUCGGGCU
rfam:Felis catus isolate Cinnamon breed Abyssinian chromosome B3, whole genome shotgun sequence.